AAAUUGAAGAGUUUGAUCAUGGCUCAGAUUGAACGCUGGCGGCAGGCCUAACACAUGCAAGUCGAACGGUAACAGGAAGCAGCUUGCUGUUUCGCUGACGAGUGGCGGACGGGUGAGUAAUGUCUGGGAAACUGCCUGAUGGAGGGGGAUAACUACUGGAAACGGUGGCUAAUACCGCAUAACGUCGCAAGACCAAAGAGGGGGACCUUCGGGCCUCUUGCCAUCAGAUGUGCCCAGAUGGGAUUAGCUUGUUGGUGAGGUAACGGCUCACCAAGGCGACGAUCCCUAGCUGGUCUGAGAGGAUGACCAGCCACACUGGAACUGAGACACGGU
rnacentral:rRNA from 1 species